rnacentral:ncRNA from 1 species
AGGAGCGGAAUGAGGUGAAAGUCUCACGUUCCGUUCUGAAGACGAGUCGGCUUGGUGACAAGUCGGCUUAGUUUAAC